AUACAAGGACUGCCUUAAUGGGUUAGACAUUGCCCCCCUGCCAUUGUCAAGUAGCGUAAUUUUCCGAACACCCCAAGCCAUAAGCAUUCGGGCAACCUGGCAUCCAAGUGUACCUGCUCCUAAGAGAAGACACUUGGUAGAAGAUAACUCAUCCAAGUUAAGUGAAGGCCAAGCACGCCAUCUCAUUAGUUUUAAAUUCAAAUCUGCUGCAGAUAUGGCCAACAUUGCAGGAUCCAUAGAUUUAGCAAGGUUAAUAACCCUGGAUAUGUG
rnacentral:misc_RNA from 1 species